CCAGCUCUCUUUGCCAAAUGGGUUAGAUCAAGAGUAGUAUCUAUUCUUUUCAGUGUAAAAACUGGAACGGUCUUCGUACCGGGACCACUUCUUUUUUAUGUACAUUUUUGCUGGUCCCGAGCCUUGACAACUGGCUUUCUAUAUUCCUGACCCACUGCGUCGCUGGUAUUGCACUGUUUCCAGUUUGGUACGAAGGUUA
rnacentral:snRNA from 1 species